AGAGCGAACGCUGGCGGCAGGCUUAACACAUGCAAGUCGAGCGCCCCGCAAGGGGAGCGGCAGACGGGAGAGUAACACGUGGGAACGUACCUUUCGGUUCGGAACAACCCAGGGAAACUUGGGCUAAUACCGGAUACGCCCGCAAGGGGAAAGAUUUAUCGCCGGAAGAUCGGCCCGCGUCUGAUUAGCUAGUUGGUGAGGUAACGGCUCACCAAGGCGACGAUCAGUAGCUGGUCUGAGAGGAUGAUCAGCCUCACUGGGACUGAGACACGGCCCAGACUCCUACGGGAGGCAGCAGUGGGGAAUAUUGGACAAUGGGCGCAAGCCUGAUCCAGCCAUGCCGCGUGGGUGAUGAAGGCCCUAGGGUUGUAAAGCCCUUUCGGCGGGGAAGAUAAUGACGGUACCCGCAGAAGAAGCCCGGCUAACUUCGCGCCAGCAGCCGC
rnacentral:rRNA from 1 species